rnacentral:rRNA from 1 species
CCUACGGGAGGCAGCAGUGAGGAAUAUUGGUCAAUGGACGAGAGUCUGAACCAGCCAAGUAGCGUGAAGGAUGACUGCCCUAUGGGUUGUAAACUUCUUUUAUAUGGGAAUAAAACGUUCCACGUGUGGGAUUUUGUAUGUACCAUAUGAAUAAGGAUCGGCUAACUCCGUGCCAGCAGCCGCGGUAAUACGGAGGAUCCGAGCGUUAUCCGGAUUUAUUGGGUUUAAAGGGAGCGUAGGUGGAUUGUUAAGUCAGUUGUGAAAGUUUGCGGCUCAACCGUAAAAUUGCAGUUGAAACUGGCAGUCUUGAGUACAGUAGAGGUGGGGGGAAUGCGUGGUGUAGCGGGGAAAUGCAUAGAGAUCACGCAGAACUCCGAUUGUGAAGGCAGCAUACCGGCGCCCAACUGACGCUGGGGCACGAAAGCGUGGGGAUCGAACAGGAUUAGAUACCCCGGUAGUC